GAUGAAGAACGCAGCGAAAUGCGAUAAGUAAUGUGAAUUGCAGAAUUCAGUGAAUCAUCGAAUCUUUGAACGCACAUUGCGCCCCCUGGUAUUCCGGGGGGCAUGCCUGUUCGAGCGUCAUUUCACCACUCAAGCCUCGCUUGGUAUUGGGCAACGCGGUCCGCCGCGUGCCUCAAAUCGUCCGGCUGGGUCUUCUGCCCCCUAAGCGUUGUGGAAACUAUUCGCUAAAGGGUGUUCGGGAGGCUACGCCGUAAAACAACCCCAUUUCUAAGGUUGACCUCGGAUCAGGUAGGGAUACCCGCUGAACUUAAGCAUAUCAAUAAGCGGAGGA
rnacentral:misc_RNA from 1 species